rnacentral:lncRNA from 1 species
GCAAAAUGAAACGAAUGAAAGAGUAGUAGAAGCACGCACUUUUCCGAUUAGGAUCUCGUUGGUGUGGGGACCGUACAUGUCGGAGGUAUCGAGAAAGGUGACGCCGGAGUUGAUGGCGUGGUGAAUGAGUUUGAUCAUAUCGGGCUCGGGCUUCGGCAGCCUGUAGAGGCUGAAUGCUAUGGUAGAGUCCUUGUUUGGACGCCUCCAGGUCGUGCGAUCGGAGCUUGACUCUCGUUAGGUUUACUCCAGUUUUCCUUAACUGUUUUUCAAAAAUUGGUAUUUGAUGAAUUCGAUGUUUCAAUUUUAGAUUAGUGGGCUGUUGAGUGUGUCACUUGGCAGUUGAGGAUUCAAUUGUGGUGAGUUUUUAAAGGCCAAACAGAGUACUGAAUCAUGGACGGAGGGAGUACAAUUUUGAUAUUUCAACCUUGAAGUUUUAAUUGUUAUAUCGCGUCAUUUUGUUGCUUUUAGCAACCCUUACCAUCAAAGGGUUUUUUCCAUCUUGCACCUAGGUGCAUCGUAUCUAGGUGCUGGAUGGGCGACACGUGGCUUCCCCUUAAAUUCCAUUUUCUUUUAUUUUUUUGAAUCAUUUAACUAAACCCAGGUUCUAAAAUGGGCCCCACUUGGCAGUUGAGGUUUGCUCAAUACAUUAUUUAUACUGUAUUUUGUUUUAAUUUUAAAUACAUCUGCGGGCCCCACUAUUGUAAAAGCUUCGAAGGGAAGCUUCUAUUCCUUAAAAAGAUCUGAAACAUCAUUCAAUUAUUUUUGAAUUUUACAUGUGGGUCCCAUUUUAGUUCGAAGCUUGCAAAAUUUUGUGUAAAAAAUUUUGCUUUGUCAUUUUUUUUGGUGGGAAGAAGUCCGUCACCGUCAAACUAAGAAGUCUGUCACCGUCAGCUUUGGCAUCCUUGCCGGAGACAUCUUCCCGGAGCAGCGGUUGUCGUUAAGCCCCCGACGGAGGUUUUUUGGGUUGGAAGGUCUAAUGGUACUAUGUUCAUCAUUUUGCAUCUAUGUUUUCCGUAGCUGUGGCUGGCGUUAACCCACCGGCGAAGCGAAGUUCCGGUAUGGCGGUAUAGCAGAAGCAAGUGAGAUUCUGAAAUAGCGAAAUUUUGGUAGACAUUUGUUCUUUUUAAUUUUGAAAAUCUUUAACUAUAUACUAUAUUGUAGAAAUGGUGUAUGCAUGUAGUUGUUGCUCUUAUGAAAUGUGGCAGGUAGUUAAAUGCAAUUAGGGUUUGUAGUUUUGUGUGUGGAUAUGUAAUGUGAGCCCUGAGUUCGUCAGUUUGGUGUGUAUGAAGGUUGUUCUUAUUGUUUUUUGGUUGAGUGCUUGGAUCUGCGAACAUUAUUUUUUUGGAGGAACAAAUACCCCAAAUGGGUUCUUCGAUGGCUUGUUUAUUUAAUAUGAGUUUUUUGAUUCCUGUAGUAUUGUUUUAUAAUGUUUUGUCAUAAAAUAAUUGUUUAAUUGUAGUCAUUUUUUCUUUGAUUAGUGAAAAUGGUGUUAGAUUUGAAUGUGCCGACUGGAAUAGAUGAAUUGGAAUAUUACAAUAAUAUUGUCAAUGAUGAUGCAAUAGACUGGGGCAUGAAUAAUGUACGUGCUGAGGAUUUUUCAGCAUAUGGGUUUGAAACGGAAGAAAAUGUGAAUGUAGAAGAUGUAGAUGUGAAUGAAGACGUUGUGAAUGAAGAAGAAGAGAAUGUUCAAGCUGUGGAAUCUGAGUUUCUCGUCGAUGGUGAAGAUGUGGCGAAUGAAGAUGUUAAUUUGUCAUCUAGAGAGUCAGAGGAAAAAUUAUCACCUGGGUGUUUAGUUGACGGGGUCGAUGAGGCUUUUUUGUUAUAUUGUGCCUAUGCCAAAAUGACUGGAUUCAGUGUAAGGAGAGGGAACGAAGAAAAAUUUAGGCGGAUAAAAUUAUUGCGUAUGAAGACAUUUGUAUGUAGUUGUCGGGGUUCGACACCUAGUAGUCACAUUGAUGGUCGUUUACCUGUAUAUAAGAAGCAAACAACUCGGUCCAACUGUCAAGCCCUUUUGAGGGUUGCUCGUGUUGAGGGAGGGUCGUGGAAGGUAACGACAUUCACUAAAGAACACAACCACGAGUUACUUGCCAAGGAUCAAGCCUAUUUGCUUCGUUCUAGUCGCACCUUUCGUAUGCUAAGAAGUCUAUGUUGGAGGCUUUGACUUCAGCCGGCAUACCAAUAAGCCGGGCUUGACGUUUCAUGGACAAUGAAUCUGGUGGCCUUGAAAAUGCCGGAUUUAUUCGUAAAGAUGUUACCAUCAUAUGGACAAUGUUAGAAGAAAGUCUAAGAUGACGAUGGAGAUUCAAGGCUCUCAUGCAGUACUUUGUUACAAGUCGAACAAAGAGCCUUUUUUCUACUGGAAUAUGCAAAAGGAUGAUGAUGGUCGACUUAUGAAUUUAUUCUACCGUGAUUCUCGUAGUGGCCUUGAUUACGAGUAUUUUGGAUGUGCUAUCCGUUGACACAACCUACAAGACGAACAAAUAUGAUCUUAUUUGUGCUCCCUUUGUAGGUAUGGAUCAUCACUUUGGAAAUAUUGAGAAUGCCCUUAAUAUUUUAUCUUUGAUUGCAUGAAGUGGUUAUAGUUCCUUAAUUAAUGCUAAAAUUGAUAAUGCCUUUUCACAUACAUUCGACCUCUAUUUUGUGCUUUACUGAGAAGCCCAAAACAUCAUGAUGAUAGACAUUCUUUAUAUUUUUUUUGACCUAAGGCUUAAUUAUUUGUGAGCUUUAUUUGACUUUUUCUUAUUUACACCUUUAACAUUGAUUAAGGGGCCAAGAAUAAUUUUAGCUUCGAUCCAGAUAACAUUGCCUAUUUCUGUAAAAGUUUUUUUCAACUUUAUUUGCCAUCGAGAAUAAUUAUUUUUGGAGUAUUUUUUGGCUUAAUUUAGAACAGCUUAUGUACACCUUUGUUCUUACAUACAUUAUGGCUUAACAUUACCAUUUUUCUCAAACUAUAAUUUUUAUUAUGUUGAUUUUUAGGUAUUAAUCAUCACUUGAAGAAUUGUAUGUUUGGGUUGGCUUUCCUUUCUGACGAGACAACGGAGACAUUUGAAUGGUUGUUUUCAACCUUUCUCGAGUCGAUGAAUGGAAAGCAACCGGAAGUUAUAUUCUCCGAUCAAUGUCAAGCUUUGAUGAAUGCUAUUGAUUCUCAAUUCAAAGGCGCGGCUCAUCGCCUAUGUCAAUGGCAUAUCAAUCAAAAUGCCCCUUCUCACUUUGGGUCUUUGAAUGGUAACAGUGAGUUCAAGAGAGCUUGGCAUCAUUGCAUGAAUUGGUGCGAGAGGAGGAAGAAUUUGAAAGCUUGUGGACAAAAAUGAUUGGAGAUUAUGGAUUGACUGAGCAUCGGUGGUUUGCAAGUAUGUACAAAUUGCGUCAGAGAUGGGCUUCUGUUUUCACUAACUCUCGUUUUUCUGCCGGAUUACAUGCUACUUCGCGAAGCGAAGUAACGAAUAGGGUUUUGAAGGAUUUGAGUAGAAGAAGUGGCUCGUUAUUUGAAUUUGUCCUCAAUUACGAACAAAUUCAAAAGGAUUGGCGGGUCAAAGAAAGAGCGGACGAUGCUUUUUGUAUUGGGAUGCCCGAUCAAUUUGUUGAGCACAAUCCACUGGUGGUGGCAGCAGCAAAAUUCUUUACACGAGCCGUUUUUGUUUCGUAUGAGUUCGAGGCCAAUCACUCAUUGAAUGUGAGCAUCGUUGAAAAUCCUACGGAGGCCGACCAACAACAGUUAUGUUUUAUUGUGAAAACGACUACAUCUGUAAAUCGGACACGAUGUGUACUAUUACAUCGUACUUCUCACGAAGCUUCAUGCACCUGCCGGUGUGGGAUACUUCUGGCAUCUUGUGUCGUCAUAUUUUUCGGAUAUAUUACCAUAUGAACGUGCAUUUAUACCGAAAAAGUAUUUGUUGCGGAGGUUGUCAAGGGAAGCAAAACACGAAUUGGGCUUGAUGUUGGGGUCGGCGUUACAGGUCCGAGUAAUGGUCAUAUUUCGUUGGCUAACUCUGCCAUGAAUAGCCAUGUGAUGCGCGGGAUGUACGAGCUGCUGAACAAUGAUAAAGUAAAUGAAGCUUGCGUCAAUUAAUUCUCCAAAAAUUCGGUGACCUACAAAAUGAAAUACAUCUGCGGUUAAGGGCUUAACCCACGAUGAUCGACAUGACGACACCCCUGUUCAAAAUCCAACGGCCGAUGCAUUCACCAUCCAUGAUCCUGUGUUCCUGUGAAGCGAAGGUUUACAAACACUCGGCUUAGCCGACACUGGAGAGGCCGAAAAAGAGAGGGAGAAAAUGUGGAACGGCAUUAGGUUUUGUAAUGAUAGAUUUACUAUAAUAAUAAGCACUUUAUAUUUCAUAUUAUUCGUCUUAAUCUGUAAAUAUUCGUUUUUGUGCAGGUACCGAACCUAUUUCUCAUGCCACCACAUCUACCAAUCACCCAACAAAUGGCCUUUUUACUUCUAAUGGGGUAAUUUUGUAUAUUUUUGAGGUUUUUAUCCUAUUAUUUUUAUUCCAUUAUUAUUUACUUCCUUUCUUUUGUUUAUUGAAGAUAAUAGAACAAUAUGAGGCUUCCUUUUUCUCCACACAGUAGCUGUCGAAGAUGGUGACUUUUUUUGCUUAUUUAGAGGCUCCAGGUACGUAAUGUAUUUCAAUAUUCUUGCAUGUGAGCAUUUGAUGGAAAUAUACUUAUAAGUAAUGAAUCAAUUUGAGGCAUUAUUUUAUUCAACCCAAUAGCUAUAUAUCUUGUGACUUUUGGGAAUCUUGCUUCUUAAAUUCAGCAGGUACUUCUUUGUGAAUUUUAUCUCGUGACUUUUGGGAAUCUUGCUUGAUGGAAAUAUACUUAUAGGUAAUGAAUCAAUUUGAGGCAUUAUUUUAUUCAACUCAAUAGCUAUAUAUCUUGUGACUUUUGGGAAUCUUGCUUCAUUUAAUAAUGACAAUGGCCUACUAUUUGCAUGUAGCAGGUAUUUUUUUGUUUGAGAGUCUUUCUUCUUAAAUUCAAGGCCACAUUAUAGUUGCUAGUUAGGUGAUUCUUGCUUCAUUUCUACCUUUUUGUUUUUUUGUGGUUAAUUUCAAUCUUAUAUGAUGAUGAUCCAGAAAGCUUUACAAGUGACUCCAUCGCAGGCGAUGCAUUGUGAAAUUGAAGAUGUUUGGUUGUGAAAUUGUACCUUUUGGAAUCUUGUUUCAAAAAUUCAAUGUUCCAUUAUCGUUUUGAUUCUUGGAUAUUCCCUUUUGUUGAGUAUAAAUAUAUAAACUCAUCAAUUACUUAGUUGUGUUCAUGUCUUUGUUUCAUUAAAAGCAAUUUUAUCCUACAAAAAAAUGCCUCCCAAUUCUCAAGACAUACUAUAUUAUAGAGAGCCUUGGACUAGAUUGGUUGAAAAAAUAGUAUUGCUACAACUGAAAAAAGCAAACGACGAGGACAGAUGGUUCCCACAAAAUGAUUAUUGGAAUAAAAUUUGUCUCGAUGAAGUGCGUGAUGAAUUAUCGGGGCGCCCUUUUUAUCUGAACUAUAUCACGCAACAUCAAUAUCGUUUAAAGUAUGCCGAAUGGAAGGUAAGGCAUUUGCAAUUUAAGAUGUUGCUCGAGCAUUUCACUGUUUGGUACGAUGAAGAAUCAAACACUGUUUAUGCCGCUGAAGCAACGUGGGAGCUCAUUCGGCGGGUAAGUUUUAUUAUAUGUAUUCACAAAUCAUUUUCCUUCCACAAAUCAAUUAAUCAUAUAUGAUAUUUUGUAAAGUAUGUUUCAGUGUUAUUUUUUUUUUUUGAUUAAAUGUAACAUUUAUUUUAUAGCGCUGUCCGGAUUUGAUGUGUUACAAUCCAGAGGGAGAGAAAAAUUGGGCCAUCUUGAAGGAAUUAUAUGAUGACCCUAAAAACAGUUUACAGAAGUGGAAAUAGAUUUUCAGACGAUCAAACUUAAUUUUUUUUUUCUUUUUGUUCAAAUUAGAAGAGGGUGGUCUCAGGUAUGGACUUUCCAAGAUGACAAUGGUGGCGUGUUGGAAUGUAUCCAUGUAUUCUCCAUGAACACAUGCCUCUCCCCCUUAACCAUGUCAGCCAAAGCCGAGAGCUGAUCCAUCUCUUCUGGAGUUAGUUUCACCGAGAGAGCUCCAAUAUUCUCAUUGAUAUUGUCGAUCUUGGUGGUGCCGGGUAUAGGGCACACGUCAUCUCCUUGGUGAUGAACCCAAGCUAAAGCCAGUUGAGACGGGGUGCAGCCUUUUCUCGUAGCCAUUUCACUGAUCUUUUCAUAUACAACCUUGUUGGUUUCAAAAUUCUCAGCCUUGAACCUUGGAAAGAGCUAGAAAAUUCGACAGACCAUUAUCAGCAUAUUUAAGUAAAAACAGCUUUUGACAUCUUCAUCGUUAAAAAGACAGAAUUGAAAAUAGAUUCUAAGACCAUCUGCAUAGGAUCAAACCCAGCCUUAUUAUGGCCUCUGUAAACUUCAAGCAGAAACUUCCUUAACUAAUUGAAGGGAACAUAUAGGGAUGGCAUUGGAUAAGAAUAAUCUGUUCUUGCAACCACAUAAAAUGUAGCUACCCUCAUCUAAUUUCAAUAAGGUCAUUGCUAUUACUUCUAGGUAUGACAAACAAGUAAUAGUUUAAUCUAGCAGUAGGAACUAGGAAAGGAGACGACUGCUAGAUAGAUAUAAGUCAAGCUAAAGGAAUUACUAUAUGCAUCGAUAAUUUUAUAUUUGUCUUUCUUAUGAAGCUAUACGAGAUAUGCACCAACCUUACGCAUGUCGCCCUCUGGCAAGUUCUGUAUCAACUUGGGACCUACUGAAAAGAAGCCACGUCCGAGCAGACUGUAUGGGACAAUUCCAAUGCCAAGUUCUCUGAGAUCACAAUACAUGCAGAAAGUUGAUUGAAUAUACUCAUCAUUUUCUCAAAUCCUAUAUUACUGACAAACUACCUCAACCUCGUACCUGCAAGUAGGAAUUAAUUCUUCUUCCAAAUCUCUUGACCACAAUGACCAUUCAUUUUGGACGGCAGUAAUUGGGUGAACAGCAUGAGCCCUUUCUUAUUGUCGAAGUAGAGGCCUUCUGAGAGCCCAACAUAUUUUUAUUUUCCCUUCUUCAACCAGUUUCUUAAGUUCUCCCAUCUUAUAGUUUCAAUUCAUGAUCAUAUAGCUUAACUAUCAAACUCAAUUCAGUCUUUCUACAAAUAUUUAUAUAAGAGUCCGACCAUGCUGCUAUUCUAAUGCAAAGAAUAUACACUCAAGUAUCUUUUGAAUUUUGAAAUCAUCAAUAUUCAUCAUAAGUUAUUGUUAAAAUUUAAACUUCAAAUGGACCACGGAUCAUUAAGUAUACAAACUUCAUAUUCCAACAGAGUUUUUCUUCAGAAGAAUACUCACUGUGACUUCAAUGGGCACACGAGUGUCGAUCCUAUGAAUGUAAUAAAGAUCAAUACAGUCAAUAUCAAGACGCUUCAAGCUCGCCUCGCAUGCAGCCCUCACAUAUUCUGGUUCACCAUGUAUACCCAUUUUCCCAUCCCUGUGUAAUAUCCCAAACUUAGAAGCAAUUUGCACGUUCUCCCUCAUCCCCCCUUUUAAAGCCUGCAACAAUUUCAACAGACUAGUUCAGGAAAAUCUUGGUGCAUUUUAUUCAAAUCUCGACUCAAUAAAUCCAAUAAGUUGUAAACACAAUGUAUGCAACGUCUCCAUGAGAACCUCCUUAACCAGAUUAUGUUCAAACAAACAACUAUGAAGAUUAUCAUAAUCAAAUUGUUAUUCGAAGCAUAAUAAUUGUUCAAUACAUAUAAUAUAAUAAGUAGCAUAUGUUUAUUCCCUUCUUUGUCCUCUGGUAAUCUAAAUUAUCUAACAAACAUAUGCCGCCGAAUGCAUAACUGCACAACUACAUCUUCACUUGAAGAUCUCUUCUCUGAAAUGUUGUAACAUUAAUACUUCGCUGAAAAUCAAUAACCUAGUUAGCAGAAGUUACAAUUAGACUAAACCUCGAUGAGUCAAUACUCGAACAUAAUAAUUUUCUAAAAGAAUAAAAUUACUACUCAAUAGAUUGAAUUCAUAACUUAAGCAGAAGGAAAUACCUUUCCAAUAAGAAUUUCGUUGGUAUGGGGACCAUAGGCAUCGGAGGUGUCGAGAAAUGUGACGCCGGAGUUGAUGGCGUGGUGGAUGAGUUGGAUCAUCUCGGGCUCGGGCUUCGGCUGGCCGUAGCUGGCGGACAUGCCCAUGCAGCCGAGGCCUUGUUUGGACACCUCAAGGCCCUGCGACCCCAGCUUGACUCUCGGCACAUUCACCCCCAUUUCGCCUAAUUAGGGCUUCAACAAAUUCGGGAUUUGAUCGAACUCGAUGUUUCAGAAUUCAGAGUAGUGGCCUGUUGAGUGUUGUCACUUGCCAGUUGAUGGUUGGCAAGUGAAGUGAGUUUAUAAGGGGAAAGGGAAGACGAAAACGUAACUGCUGCCGUCAUGCUAUCGCCAGCGAUGACGCCAUUGUCAAACCUUUCUUCGAUGAGCUUGAAAAUCACACUACGCCUCUACAUAUGUUAAUGUCAAUUGUCAAGUGGUCGACAUAUUCGCAUCUCCUCGGGCGUCAACGCAUUUUUUCCACUAAUAAAAACUUACUCCAUCAAAAUUGUUGUAUGGUUUGGGAAGUACAUGAAUUUUAACAAAUAGUGAAAAAUGAUUUAUUAAAAUUAAGUGCAGAAAUGAUCCAUUAAAACUAUAUUAAAUAGUAUUUGGAAUUUUUAAAAAUGUUAAGUGUGAGUGUGAUUUAGAAUAUAAGAAAUAGUUUUCAAAAAAAAAUGUUGGAGUACAUUUUUAGUUGAAGGGACAUAAUUAAUAAUAAAAUUACAAUUUUUCUAGAAUAAGUUAAUAAGUGUUAAAAUAUUACUCACUCCGUCCGCCAAAAGUGGGGCACAAUUACUAUAUCGGGCGUCCGUAAAGAGUGUGCCACUUUGCUUUUAAGGAAAUGGUUCCAUCAUCCACUUUAAUCUUUUAACCUUACAAACACUCUUUAUUUACAAAAAAACCAACUCCAAAUUCAAUCUCAACCACAUAUCUCAUAAAGUGGUGUGACCCUUUUUCCACUACAUCAAAAUCAUCACUAAAUUUAUUAAAUCUCGUGCCCACCUAAAGUGCCUCACUUUUGGCGGACAGAGGGAGUACAAAUUUACAAUUACGAAUAUCAUGGUAACUUGUUAAAAUAUGAACAUAUAUUGUUGAAUCAUUUUUAGCUUGAUCAUCAUUAUAAUCUCCAAUAAUAUUAGCCACAGUGAAUUGAUAGACAUAUGCAUUUAUUUCAUUUAAAUAUUAUCUCUCAUUUGUUUUUAUAAAUUAUAACUUGAAUUAAAGUUUAUUAUCUCUGAAAUUAAGAAAACAUUCUAUAAAUUAAAAAGUUAUUGAUUUAUUUGAUAUAUUAAUAAUUUAUAAUUGUUUUAUUAUAUUUUUAAGAAAUUUAGUGAUCAUAUUGAAUUUUCAAACACAUACAUUUCAAUGUAUGAUUUAUGUACAACUUAGUGAAUAUGUGAUACAUACCUUAUUUAUUUAUUAUAUAAUUGUGAGUUAUUGUUAUUCUCAUUGAUCUAGUUAAUUAAAUAGAUUUUUAUAGGAUAUUUAUCUUUUCCAUGAUUCUAAAAAGAGUUAUAGAUAUAUAUCACAUAUAUUUCGGAUAAGGUAAUAUAAUUAAUUAAUACUAUACUUUUAUAGUACUCUUAUAUCUAAUAUAUAAUUUACAUAAUUACCUUAAAAUUAAAUAUAUAUAUAAAAGAGAUAUAAUAGGCAAUCUAUAUUUUGGCCUAAAAAGUAUAGAUAUUGUGUACCGUUCUCCCUUGACAUUAUCAGCCAAAGUAGAGAGUUGAGUCAUCUCUUCCGGAGUUAGUUUCACAGAGAGGGCUCCGAUAUUGUCGUUGAAGUUGUCAAUCUUGGUGGUGCCCGAUAUAGGAGACACAUCAUCUCCUUGGUGAUGAACCCAAGCCAACGCCAGUUGAGAUGGGCUGCAACCUUUACUUGUAGCCAUGUCACAUAUCUUUUCGUAUAUGAUCCUGUUGCUUUCAAGAUUUUCGUCAUAGAACCUCGGACAAAAGGCCUAGCAAAUGCGACAGACGUGUUAGCACAAAUCUUGGUAUCAUCAUUGUUAAAAAUAUAACAAAUUGAAUAAAGAUUUCCAGACUACUUGGACAAGUAGAACUUCAAGCUAAUAAUUUAGUUGCGACAGCGGAAAAAAAAAAAAAAAAACAAUACUCCUUGAUAGCAAUAAUUUAAGAAACUUAACAUUCAAAUCACAUGAAGAGUUGUUCUGUAAUCUACAUAAUUCAUUAAAUACUUGUCGACAUGGUUAUCUGAUAUGCACCAACCUUACGAAAGUCGCCCUCCGAUGCAUUCUCUAACAUCUUGGGUCCUACUGAAAGGAAGCCGCGUCCAAGUGGACUAUAUGGCACAAGUCCAAUACCAAGUUCUCUAAAAUUGAUAAGACAAGCCAAAAGCCGAUAUAUUGCUUCUCUUUCUUUUUCUUUAAAACAUCAAUUUCAACAAAAUACUUCUCUCUUACCUGCAUGUAGGAAUCAAUUCUUCUUCCACAUCUCUUGACCACAAUGACCAUUCGAUUUGAACAGCAGUAAUUGGAUGAACAACAUGAGCCCUUCUAAUUGUUGAAUGAGAGGCCUCUGAAAGGCCAAUGUAUUUUAUUUUUCCUUCUUCAACCAGUUUCUUAAGUUCCCCCAUCUAAAAGUUCAUGGAAAACAUUCAGCAAUAGGAAAAGGCCAGAAAAAUUGAAGCACCUAAAUUAAUAGUAGUAGUAAUAGUUUCCCUUUUUAUCUACACAGAUGCACAAUUUGGAGAACCAAAUAUCAUUUCCCUCGGUAUUAGUUGUAAAUUGUAAUGCAUGUCAUCACAAUAUCUUGCAAUGCAGCAGGUCACAUGCCACCCUUGUCCCUUGAUAAGCUUCUUAUAUCAUUACAGCAAAUUACUGGCAUCCCGGGCUAUGAACCAAGUAUUUUUCUCCAAAAUGUAAUCAGUAGAGAAAUCACUACAGGCACAACAUACCUACCACUACACAGUAAAAGUUGCUGAAGUCUUCAUGUCUAUAAAAAUUAUCUAGCUACAAUUCCCACAACAAAACAUAGCUUGUAGUUUAUGUAAAGUAGUCAGGUACAAACUAAAGCACAUACAGAGUUGACAACGCAUGCGUGUAAACACCUCUAUAAAAAAGAACGGAUAUUAAUGAAUAAAUUUGACUUGUCUUCGUCUUUGAUGUGAACCACAUCUUCAUCCAAUGAAGACGACAUCACAUUAGCCCACAAUGAAAAUAAAAGAAAGAAAAAAAUAGAAGAAAGAGUCGACCAACAUUCCUUGUAAGUUUAAAGCCAAUGCACCAAAAUUAAAAUAUUCAAAAGGGACUGCAGAAUCACUAGGAUUCAAUCAUCGCCACACUCAAUACAAUUACAAAAGGUCAUAUCUUCGAGAUGGAACUUACUGUGAUUUCAAUGGGCACACGACGAGUGUCAAUCCGAUGAACAUAAUAGAGAUCAAUGCAAUCAACAUCAAGACGCUUCAAGCUUGAUUCACAUGCCGACCUGACAUAUGCAGGGUCACCACGAAUCUCCCUCUUGCCAUCCUGAUUAACUACCCCAAACUUGGAAGCAAGUUGCACUUUUUCCCUCAUUCCCCCUUUCAAAGCCUGCAUCAACUCAAAAACAUUAAUGCAUGACAGAUUCAACACCUCACUCUCACACACACACAUAGAAUUGUAUGGUCUCUUAACAAAAUAUACAGAGAAUUAUAUGGGUGGGUUCAAGGACCUCCAGAAGCUAAUUUCAGUUUAGUAAAAAUCGACCGAUUAACUCUUGGAAAACGUUUGUUCGGAAAACUAAGAAAUUUGAUUUCAUUAUGAGCUUGACUUGAGUGAAAUAGAUAGAACAAAAUUGAGCAGCUAAAACGUAUAAAAACAAAAGUUGAUUUAUUUCCUUCAAAAAGAGUUGGAUGUACUUUUAUUUCUGAAAAUUGAAACAUAAACCAUCGAGAUCGCGCGCUAUGAUUAUCGCAUAUACUACAAAAAAAAAUUGCGAUCAAGUUAAACAGAUUAACGCCACCAAGAUGCAACAUAAAAAAGAUGAAAAAUAGAACAGCAAAAUCAAUCAAGAAAAGAAUGGCGGAAGCGCGUACCUUUCCGAUUAGGACUUCGUUGGUGUGGGGACCGUACAUGUCGGAGGUAUCGAGAAAGGUGACGCUGGAGUUGAUGGCGUGGUGGAUGAGUUUGAUCAUAUCGGGCUCGGGCUUCGGCGGCCCGUAGAAAGCCGACAUGCCCAUGCACCCCAGCCUUUGUUUGGACACCUCAAGGCCCUCCGACCCGAGCUUGAUUUUCGGCACAUUCACUCCCAUUUUCGCGGAAUUAAGGCUAGUGGAUUUGAGAAUUUGAGUGAUCGGUCGGACUGAACUGGAUUGGAUUGAGCAGUGGUGUAUCUGUUGACUUUGAAAUGAGGAUUGAGGACUGGAAGAAGGAUGACGUCACCGCUGCCGCAAUCAAUGUUGUCGUCGUUCGAUCCUUUUUUAGUUUUGUUUUUUUAUUUUCUUAUUUCUAUUUUCUUUUAAUAUAACCCGCCAUUGUUGCUUGUUGGAACCUUCAAAUUCUUCCAACUUCAAAUUUCGAGUGUUAAAUCAGGAAGAAUUGCUUCGCACCAAACGGUCCAAACCGUGUUGCUCGAUCACCAACAAGUAGGCGCGUUUUUCAUUCAUUUCAAAACUUUUUUAGUUUUUAUUUUUUAUUUUAAUCAAACAGUACUCCUAUACAUGGUUGAUAACUCUUCCUUUAGUCAAUAAUAUUGGUGCAUCAGACUAAAUUUAAUUAAAGCACUACUAUUUACUAUUCGAAUCGGGUGUUCUUCCACUUUCUGUAUCACAAUAUAUAUAUAUAUAUAUAUANAAAAGACAUAUAAUAGGCAAUCUAUAUUUUGGGCCUAAGAAGUAUAGAUAUUGUGUAAUUUAAGAAUUAUGUUGAGUAUUUUUGUUAUUUGUUAAGCGUCCUAAAAUGAAAUAGGACCAUUUCAAAUGGAACAACUCAAAUUGAAAAGUAAGACAUUUUAAGUGGGACGAAUGUAGUAGUAUUAUUUAUCGUCAUACAUAUUACAAUAGAAGCUCAUAGUUUUCAAUUACAUGAGACGUAUGUAUAUAUCAUCGAAGAAACCAUACAUUGUAUGCAGGACCUCUACACCACACAAAAGUGAAAAACAAAUUACACCGCACGCAGGCGAGAUCUCUAAACCACACAAAUGUGGAAAGACGUGAUUGAAUCCAAAACCUCUCGCAAAAGAAGAAUCUUGUGGUGUCUCAGCUUAAUAGAAGCUCAUAUUUGCUAACAAGCUUAUGCAAGAGAGCAUAAGAUUUUCAUGUAAGGAAGUAAGCAGAUUUUCAUGUAGUUAACAAUACUAGAGGAAUAAUUGUAGUCCAGACAUGGAAAGAGCAGGUGGUCUCACGCAUAUCAGGCCUCGGCUUUCCCCAAUUCCAACGAGGGCGUGUCUGCGUUUUUCCAUGUGCUGGCCAUGGAAGCGUACCGUUCUCCCUUGACAUUAUCAGCCAAAGUAGAGAGUUGAGUCAUCUCUUCCGGAGUUAGUUUCACAGAGAGGGCUCCGAUAUUGUCGUUGAAGUUGUCAAUCUUGGUGGUGCCCGGUAUAGGAGACACAUCAUCUCCUUGGUGAUGAACCCAAGCCAACGCCAGUUGAGAUGGGCUGCAACCUUUACUUGUAGCCAUGUCACAUAUCUUUUCGUAUAUGAUCCUGUUGCUUUCAAGAUUUUCGUCAUAGAACCUCGGACAAAAGGCCUAGCAAAUGCGACGGACUUGUUAGCAUAAAUCUUGGUAUCAUCAUUGUUAAAAAUAUAACAAAUUGAAUAAAGAUUUCCAGACUACUUGGACAAGUAGAACUUCAAGCUAAUUAAUAAUUUAGUUGCGACAGCGGAAAUAAACCAGUACUCCUUGAUAGCAAUAAUUUAAGAAACUUAACAUUCAAAUCACAUGAAGAGUCGUUCUAUAAUCUACAUAAUUCAUUAAAUACUUGUCGACAUGGUUAUUUGAUAUGCACCAAGCUUACGAAAGUCGCCCUCCGAUGCAUUCUCUAACAUCUUGGGUCCUACUGAAAGGAAGCCGCGUCCAAGCGGACUAUAUGGCACAAGUCCAAUACCAAGUUCUCUGAAAUUGAUAAGACGAGCCAAAAGCUGAUAUAUUGCUUCUCUUUCUUUUUCUUCAAAACAUCAGAUUUCAACAAAAUACUUCUCUCUUACCUGCAUGUAGGAAUCAAUUCCACGUCUCUUGACCACAAUGACCAUUCGAUUUGAACAGCAGUAAUUGGAUGAACAACAUGAGCCCUUCUAAUUGUUGAAGGAGAGGCCUCUGAAAGGCCAAUGUAUUUUAUUUUUCCUUCUUCAACCAGUUUCUUAAGUACCCCCAUCUAAAAGUUCAUGGAAAACAUUCAACAAUAUGAAAAAGGCUAGAAAAAUUGAAGCACACUGAAUUAAUAGUAGUAGUAAUAGUAUCCCUUUUUAUCUACACAGCCAAAUAUCAUUUCCCUCAGUAUUAGUUGUAAAUUGUAAUGCAUGUCAUCACAAUAUCUUGCAAUGCAGCAAGUCACAUGCCACCCUUGUCCCUUGAUAAACUUCUUAUAUCAUUACAAAAAAUUACUGGCUUCCCGGGCUAUGAACCAAAUAUUUUUCUCCAAAAUGUAAUCAGUAGAGAAAUCACUAUAGGCACAACAUACCUACCACUACACAGUAAAAGUUGCAGAAGUCUUCAUGUCUAUAAAAAUUAUCUAGCUACAAUUCCCACAACAAAACAUAGCUUGUAGUUUAUGUAAAGUAGUCAGGUACAAACUAAAGCACAUACAGAGUUGACAACGCAUGCGUGUAAACACCUCUAUAAAAAAGAACGGAUAUUAAUGAAUAAAUUUGACUUGUCUUCGUCUUUGAUGUGAACCACAUCUUCAUCCAAUGAAGACGACAUCACAUUAGCCCACAAUGAAAAUAAAGAAAGAAAAAAAUGAAAGAAAGAGUCGACCAACAUUCCUUGUAAGUUUAAAGCCAAUGCACCAAAUUAAAUAUUCAAAAGGGCUACAGAUCACUAGGAUUCAAUCAUCGCCACACUCAAUACAAUUACAAAAGGUCAUAUCUUCGAGAUGGAACUUACUGUGAUUUCAAUGGGCACACGAGUGUCAAUCCGAUGAACAUAAUAGAGAUCAAUGCAAUCAACAUCAAGACGCUUCAAGCUUGAUUCACAUGCCGACCUGACAUAUGCAGGGUCACCACGAAUCUCCCUCUUGCCAUCCUGAUUAACUACCCCAAACUUGGAAGCAAGUUGCACUUUUUCCCUCAUUCCCCCUUUCAAAGCCUGCAUCAACUCAAAAACAUUAAUGCAUGACAGAUUCAACACCUCACUCACACACACACACAUAGAAUUGUAUGGUCUCUUAACAAAAUAUACAAAGAAUUAUAUGGGUGGGUUCAAGGACCUCCAGAAGCUAAUUUCAGUUUAGUAAAAAUCGACCGAUUAACUCUUGGAAAACGUUUGUUCGGAAAACUAAGAAAUUUGAUUUCAUUAUGAGCUUGACUUGAGUGAAAUAGAUAGAACAAAAUUGAGCAGCUAAAACGUAUAAAAACAAAAGUUGAUUUAUUUCCUUCAAAAAGAGUUGGAUGUACUUUUAUUUCUGAAAAUUGAAACAUAAACCAUCGAGAUCGCGCGCUAUGAUUUUCGCAUAUACUACAACAAAAAUUGCGAUCAAGUUAAACAGAUUAAGCCACCAAGAUGCAACAUAAAAAAGAUGAAAAAUAGAACAGCAAAUCAAUCAAGAAAAGAAUGGCGGAAGCGGUACCUUUCGAUUAGGACUUCGUUGGUGUGGGGACCGUACUGUACAUGUCGGAGGUAUCGAGAAAGGUGACGCUGGAGUUGAUGGCGUGGUGGAUGAGUUUGAUCAUAUCGGGCUCGGGCUUCGGCGGCCCGUAGAAAGCCGCAUGCCCAUGCACCCCAGCCUUGUUUGGACACCUCAAGGCCCUCCGACCCGAGCUUGAUUUUCGGCACAUUCACUCCCAUUUUCCGGAAUUAAGGCUAGUGGAUUUGAGAAUUUGAGUGAUCGGUCGGACUGAACUGGUUGGAUUGAGCAGUGGUUAUCUGUUGACUUUGAAAUGAGGAUUGAGGAUGGAAGAAGGAUGACGUCACGUGCCGCAAUCAAUGUUGUCGCUUCGAUCCUUUUUUAGUUUGUUUUUUUUUUUCUUAUUUCUUUUUCUUUUAAUACAGCCCGCCAUUGCUGCUUGUUGGAACCUUCAAAUUCUUCCAACUUCAAAUUUCGAGUGUUAAAUCAGGAAGAAUUGCUUCGCACCAAACGGUCCAAACCGUGUUGCUGGAUCACCAACAAGUCACAUUGGUCGUUAGGCGCGUUUUUCAUUCAUUUCAAAACUUUUUUAGUUUUUAUUUUUUAUUUUAAUCAAAUAGUACUCAUAUAUAUGGUUGAUAACUAGUGCGCCUUUGAACACUGGCCGCUAUCUGGGUCUCCCUUCUCUUAUUGGGCGGAAGAAACGUGAAAUCUUUCAGUACCUUCGUGACCGUAUGUGGGAUCGCAUCCAAGGAUGGAAUGGAAAAAAGCUCUCGAAAGCCGGUAAGGAGAUUUUGAUCAAGGGUGUUGCAUAGGCCAUUCCUUCGUUCUGUAUGGCGAUUUUUGCUCUCCCUACUAGUCUCACCGAUGAUAUGGAGAGAUUGAUGAACAAAUUCUGGUUGAAUAAUAAAAGUGGGGAUGAGAGGGGCAUCAACUGGAUGCGUUGGGAGAAACUUUGUGUGGAUAAACAGCUUGGCGGGUUGGGCUUUCGUAGCCUUCAACUCCUUAAUAUUGCAAUGCUCGGCAAAACUUGCUGGAGGUUAAUUGAUGAUCCGAAUGCUUUGGUGUGUAAGGUCCUUAAAGCUAAGUACUUUCGAUCAUGCAGUUUCUUGGAUGCUAAAGUUGGGAGUAGUCCUAGUUUUGCUUGGCGGAGUCUGUGUUCGGCGCAAGAUUUGGUUCAAAGGGGUCUGGUGGCGCAUCGGAGAUGGCCAUAGCGUCCGUGUCUUUGAGGAUCCUUGGCUUCGAAAAGCCCAUAAUUUCCGAAUCUCCUCUAGCUGCCCGUCUGCCCUUGCUGGGAUUCGUGUUCAUGAUCUGCUCAUUCCCGGGACCAGAGUUUGGAAUAUGGAGCUGUUACACGACCUUGUGAACUUGGAUGACUUUCGGGAUAUCAUUAGUAUACCUCUGCUCCCAUGCACGAUCACAGCCGGAUAAGUUGAUAUGGAAUUAUUCGGAUAAUGGUUGUUAUUCUGUGAAGACGGCUUACAAGUUGGCUAGCUCCCUCGUCCUUGAUGACACUUCUAAGGUCGAGGGCCAUUGGCGUAAACUGUGGAAAAAGGAGAGUUAACGUCCCUCCUAAAGUCCGUCAUUUCCUUUGGCGGGCGGCUCGUAACAAUUUGCCCUCGAAAGAAAAUCUCUUGCAGCGUGGCUUAACUAGUGGGGGCGAGUGUGCUACUUGUCGUGGUGGUCUUGAAAAUUUAUGGCACACUUUUUUCUCUUGCCCUUUUGCUGAGGCUUGCUGGAAUGCGAGCCAUCUUUCCACGCUUAUUGGCUCCGCCAUGUCUAGAAGUGAUUCAUUUGGCUGGAAUGCAGGCUUUUUUCAUCAUCUUCGAUGAGGAGCAAAGCGAUCAUGUUGCUCUCUUUGCCAUGGUCCUUUGGUAGAUUUGGAAGGACCGCAACACCGUCGUCUGGAAGGAGAUCUUUCCUAAUCCCGAUAGGUCUGUGGCUACUGCUGUUGGCUGCCGUCAAGAAUGGCUUUUGGCGAGAGCUCGGGGCACCAGACAGCACUCUGCUCCUUCUUCGUCCGCUGUUUGCUUGGGUUGGCACGAUUUGUCAGAGGGAGAUGUUCUUUGUGGAGUGGAUGCUGCCUUCUUCGAGGGUGAUAAUGCGAUGGGGCUUGGUCUGGUCUUCCGAGACCACAGCGGCAAUUUUCUCACCGGCACCUCUCUAAAAAUUCCGGGCAUGAGGAGUACUGAGGAAGGUGAAGUUUUGGGCAUCAAGGAGGUGUUUUCCUGGAUCAAGCGCCUUGGCUAUGUUAGUGGGAUCGUGGAAUUGGAUAGUAAGCGUGCUUGCAAUGAGAUUACUUCUGGUAGAAUGAACAUUUCUGAGUUUGGUCUUCUUGCUAAAUUCUGCCGGGAGGAACUUUCUAUGCUUCCGGGUUUCUGUUUAAGACAUGUUCGUUGUGAUCAAAAUGUUAUCGCCCACGGCUUGGCGAAAGCUGCGAGAGAUUUGUAGUCACAUCAUGUUUGGAAUGAACCUCUAGCCUUUGUGGUGGGUUAUUUCUAUACCCCAUGUUCUUGUGAUUAAUAAGAUGUCUCUCGUUCUCUUAAAAAAUAUAUAUAUAUGGUUGAUAACUCUUCCUUUAGUCAAUAACAUUGGUGCAUCAGACUAAAUUUAAUUAAAGCACUACAAUUUACGAUUCGAAUCGGGUGUUCUUCCACUUUCUGUAUCACACAUGCUGGAAAGCUUCAUAUUCAGUAAUGGAAAGGUCAUAAAAUACAAGUAGUUGUGGAAGCAAAUACACACAUGCUGCUGUAAAAAACAACACACACACACACAAAUAGUAAGCAGAAAAUCAAGUGAUGGAGUGGAUAGUGUGGUAGUUGAGAGUUGUUCCCGAAUUCUCAUCUCAUGCAUUCCAAGAUGACAAUGGAGGCGUAUUUGCAUUGAUCCAUGUAUGUGUCAUGAACGUGUACCUCUCUCCCUUGACUGUGUCCGCCAACGCAGAGAGCUUAUCCAUCUCCUCUGAAGUCAAUUUCACGGCGAGAGAUCCGAGAUUGUCGUUCAAGUUUUUGAUCUUGGUGGUCCCCGGUAUCGGGCACACAUCAUCUCCUUGCUGCAUAAGCCAAGCCAAUGCCAGUUGAGCUGUGCUGCAACCUCUCCUUGUACCCAUCUCACUCAUCUCUUCAUAUACAGACUUGUUGGCUCUAAGAUUUUCAUCCUUAAACCUUGGGAAAUAGGUCUGCCAAAAUGUGGUGGAAUUUAAUUCGUUAUACCAUUUCAACAGACAUAGAAAGAUAUGUGCACCAACCUUACGAACAUCGCCCUCUGCUGCGUUCUCUAACGCCUUGGGACCAGCUGAAAGUAGGCCGCGUCCAAGGGGACUAUACGCGACUAUUCCAAUGCCAAGUUCUCUGAAAUUCAUGAGGCCGAUAUUAGUGUUCUGUGAUCAAAUUAAUGUGUUGUAGUUUUAAGUGUUACCUGCAGUGGGAAUGAUUUCUUGUUCGACAUCUCUUGACCACAAUGACCAUUCGAUCUGAACAGCACUAAUUGGAAGAACAGCAUGAGCCCUUCUGAUUGUUGAAGCAGAGGCUUCUGAGAGCCCAACAUAUUUGAUUUUUCCUUCCUCAACCAGCUUCUUUAGUUCCCCCAUCUUGGGAAGCAUAUAGGCAAGGACAAGAGCAUCAGACAUAAAAAAUAAAAGUCAAAUACAGCUACCUAUAUAUUUAUCCUAUAUUGAACACCAGUAUCAUUCUGCUGAAUUUAUUUGCAUGCACUUUCUUGACUUUAUCAUAAUAUAUAUAUGCACCACAAAAAAGACUUUAAAACUUCUUAGCUGCAAACUGCCUGCGUAAACACCAAUCUAUAUAACUAGGAAGGUGUGGAUGCAUAAAUUUGAAAUAUCAUUUGUCUUGUCUCACAUUAUUUCAAGCAAACCAUAUUAUUAAACACUCAUCAUUUUACAUUGUUUUCACAUGUUAUAUAAUUAUGCACGCGCGUGUGUUGAAAUUGAGCACCUAUGUGAUGUUUUUUGGUUUGAUUUUUGUAUAAUUUGUUGAUGUCACAUUUCGGUAUAGUUUCAUAUUUCUUUAAUUUUAUGUCGUGUCUUUAUUUAAUUAUAUCCGACUAGUUUAAAUUCUAAUUCUAGAAUUUUUAUGUCUUGAUUAAAUUUAUGUUUUUGAUUUAUUGAUAAAACAUAGCCCUCCAUUCUAUGAUUUAUUCAUGGUGCUUAUUUCUUGUGAAAUUAAAUACUUGAUCGAUAUUUUGCAUGUCUAGUUGUUCAGAAGCCUCACGGUACUAAUUGUUCAACUGAUUCAGAAAUACGUAGUAAGUACGACCUUGAGUUCUAGCAGAGAUAGAUGGAUCAUAAGAACCUAUUCUUAGUGUGUCAUUCGGUGUUAGUAGAUUUUCUCAAUUCUUAACAUAACUUAUUAAUCUACGGUCACAAAUUGAUCGAGAGAGAGGGCGUGAUUAUUAUCGUGAUCAUUCAUAUAUUUAGACUGUAUUAAACUGAUAAUUGGAUGAAUAAAUUAAUUGCAUAGUUUAUUCGACUCAUUAGGAUCAAUUUUUAUCUCUUGAAUUUUAUCUAAACUAGCAGAAAGAACGUACGUUGUAUGUGUAAUUAAUGUUAUUUUAUUUGAUAAUCUAUUAUUUUAGAAAAUCUAGUAAUUCGUUACUUUUAUUAGAUAAUUUAUUGAAUGUAUAUAUUUAUCUAUAAGCCUUAUCAAUAGCUAUAGAUACAUAUCACAUAGAUUAAGUGUAAUAUCUAAUGAAUUAAUAUAUUCUUAUAAAGAUAUAAUAUGUACAAUAACCUUUAAAAAAAUAUGUAAUAGGGGUAAAAUAGGCAAUCCACAAGUUGUGCGUUAGGAUGCCUCAUGCUCUUUUUCUAUUAGUAUUAGUAUAGAUUUGUUAGGUAUUUUAUUUGAAUUGGUUUCUUUUGCAUGGUAUUUAAUUGAUUGUCUUGUGAAAAAUGAAGACAAUUUGGAAAACAUUAAUGCAAGUGUGGAAUUAAGAGUACUUACUGUGACUUCAAUGGGCACACGAGUGUCGAUGCGAUGAACAUAGUAGAGAUCGAUGCAGUGAAUAUCAAGACGCUUCAAACUUGCCUCACAAGCAGCCCUCACAUACUCUGCCUCACCAUUUACAAUCAUCUCUCCUUCCCUACUUACUAUCCCGAACUUGGUAGCAAUUUGCACCUUCUCCCGCACUCCCCCUUUCAAAGCCUGCACAACACAGUAAUUAAGCAGCGUAUAGCCUAACACAUGCAAAAACUGGGGGGAAUUAACCUUUCCGAUGAGGAUCUCGUUGUCCCCGUAGAAGUCGGAGGUGUCGAGAAAGGUGACGCCGGAGUCGAUGGAGUGGUGGAUGAGUUGGAUCAUGUCGGCCUCGGGCUUCGGCGGCCCGUAGUAAGCCGACAUGCUCAUGCAACCCAGGCCUAGCUUGGACACCUCCAGGCCCUGCGACCCUAGCUUCACUCUCGGCACAUUAUUCACACCCAUUUUCGCUUAAUUUAAUUUGGAUUUGAGUGAUGAGAUUCAGGAAUUGUGUGAGUGAUGGUGUGAAUUUUAAAGUGAAGGUGCAUGCAUGAUAGCUCGCGUGCGUCACUGCUGCCGUAAUGGCGGCUCAUAUAUAUCUAUACAGCUUUGUUGAUGAAUAUAUUUCAAGAGAUACACCCAUUACGGAAGCCGUGACGCCAUUGAUGCAUGGAGCUCUGUUGAUGAUUAUCUCAAAUCACAAAUCACUUUUUCUUUCCGUGACGAGCUAAUAGUACUUAUGUGCAUGCAGCCACUAAAUCCAAAUAUAGGAAAUUAAGUAGCAUGUUCGAAAUUUUGAUAAAAAACAGUUUUAAUUCAAUUCGAUUUGUUGAGGAAAUUUUUUACAUAAAAAUUCACAUAAUUAAAUAGAUAUAAUUAUCAUGAAUGACAACAAAAAUAGUUGGGUCUCCAGUUCUUCCUGGCUGUAUGUGGCUCCGCAACCCUAACACUUUGGCCGAAUAUUCUAAAUUUAGUGUAGUAUUUUGUUACAGUUCACUUUGUCAAAUAUAUGCAUGAUUGUUUUUGCUUUAUCUUAAAUUUGUAUUUUUAUCCCAUUUUGAAACAAAAUCAUUAGAGAAUGUAUUAAAUUAUGAGGCAUGAUUGCGCGCAUUUAUAUAUGGUCUUACACAUCAUUUAGUCCAAAGCCACGACAAGUUUGAAGAUGAAAACAUUGACUUGUCAAGUACAAUUUUAUAAAAUAGAAAUGUUGCAUUUGAUCGAUUUUAGCGUACAAAUGCCAAAUAAGAAAGAUGCAGAUUUCCAUCAUGCACUUACUCAAAAGACAAAAGAACUAAUGCCUCAUGAUCUGGUCGACUGCAUAAUCUGAACAUUAUAACAGAAUUUUCAAGAAGAGUCCACUACACAAGUCAUUGUUGUUACCUUGCUUCUUCCACUUGUCAGUAAAAGCAAACCUCCGUCAAUAAAACCCGAGACAAGGACUCCAGUAGCAAUUGAUAAUAGUAUUAAAUUAGUAGGCGCUUUCUUUGUGGGGAAUAUAAUAUAUUAAGAAACAUUAAUGUAGUUAAAUGGCCAUAAUGAAGAUUGAAAAUCAAUUUUUGGCCCCUAAUAUUAAAACAUCAAAAUAUGGCCAUUAAUUAGGUGGUAUGCCUAAUUUGCCCUUUUUACUCGGCCGCUGAGGUGAUUGCGCGACCGCUGGAUGAUUGCCGCUCUGGAAGCUUAUGAGUGAGUUGCGCGCUGCGGGGAAAAGCCAGCGCCCGCUGCGCUAUGGCAUUAUGGCACUAAUAGUGCCAUAAGUGCAUAGCAUCAUUUUAUUAUUGGUUUUAUUUUGGAUUUCCGUUGGCACCUAUGGCACUAUAGUGCCAUAAGUGCCAAAGAACCAUUUUAAACACUUCCCGUAGGUUUAGAUGUUCCAUUUAGGGUUUAAUUCUUUAGGGUUUAGAUAUCCAUUUAUGAUUUCUUGAUUCUAUUACUUUGUUUCUGUUGCGCGUAUGACACUUAUGGCACUAUUAGUGCCAUAAGUCCAAAAUAAUCAUUUUACUUGGUUUUAUUUUGGAUUUCCGUUGGCACUUAUGGCACUAUUAGUGUCAUAAGUGCUAACGGAAAUUCAAAAUAAAACCAAAGUAAAAUCUUGGCACUUAUGGCACUAAUAGUGCCAUAAGUGUCUAACCCGACCCGGCAUGCGACCCGCGCGCCUGAUCCUACCCGGUCAGCCUCAUUAAGGGUAAAAACGUCCAAAUGAAUAAAAAUGGCCAUAAAUUAUUUCUUCUAAUUUUUUUACUUACAAAGUCAUUUAUAAUAUCAUUUGUUUCAAGAUUUUCUAGAACAUUUUUGUCAAUAUAAAAAAUUGUCAAACCAUUAGCAUUUGAAUUUUUAAAUUUUCAUUAGAACUUGUAUUUUUAACAAAAAUAUUAUCGAUCUACAUCCUUUUUUGUGAUUUACUGAAUUCUUUUAACAUUUCACAAAGAUAUUUUUUAUGCAUCACGUGUAAAUGUAUUGCACACACCACAAGAAAAAAUUAUUAGAAAUUGAAAUGUGGAAAAAUAGCAUCUGGGUUCUCCAGACUAAAAGUUCUUGCCUUUGUUUCGAAAGCCCUUCAUCUCCCAACUCUCCAAACGGCCAAACCCCGACGCCACACUUCUUGGCGCCGUCUCCGGCCUCUCUACUCUACGUGGAUCGGAGCAAGGUUUCAAGCGCAAGCAAUACAUUAAUUAUUGAGUGGAUUGAGGAAUUAGUUUGUAGGGGAACUCUUCUUCUUCGUAGAUGUAAAUUAAUUAUUUCAACUUUCAAAAGUGUUGAAUUUUACAUGAUAACAUCAGCCUACACAAAUACAUACUUUAUGGUCUACACCACGAGCAAGGUAAUACAUAACCAUCUAACAGAGGAAGUUCACAUUGAUACAACAAGCUUAUGCACGAAAGCAUAAGAUUAUUAAACACUAUCUUGGAAGCAAAUAUUGUUUAAACACUUAACUAACAAAGGAAGCAAAUAUUAUAGGCCAAUGGUAUUCCUCCCCUCCAUGAAGGUAAGAGAUCAGGCUACGAAUCUGAAUCCCAUUAUUCCUCAGUGUUAUAGCAUGGCCAUGGAAGGAGCACAGAUGCUCUCAUGCAACUCAGGCCUCGGCUUUCCAGGAUUCCAAUGGGGGCGUGUUUGCGUCUUUCCAUGUGCUCACCAUGGAAAUGUACCUUUCUCCCUUCACAUUCUCAGCCAAAGCAGAGAGUUGAGUCAUCUCUUCUGGAGUAAGUUUUACAGAAAGGGCACCGAUAUUGUCGUUGAAGUUGUCGAUCUUGGUGGUGCCCGGUAUAGGACACACAUCAUCUCCUUGGUGAUGAACCCAAGCCAACGCCAACUGAGAUGGGCUGCAUCCUUUACUUGUAGCCAUUUCACAUAUCUUUUCGUAUAUGAGCUUGUUGCUUUCAAGAUUUUCAUCAUGGAAUCUCGGAAAAUAGAUCUAGCAAAUGCAAUACACAUUUUAGCAUGUAAAUAAGGAAAAUCUUGACAUUAUUCUUGUUUUUUAGAGAGAUAUAAGAUACAUAUCAUAUCAUGAUCAACAAUAUUGGAUAAGAACUAACCUUGCGAAGGUCACCCUCUGAUGCAUUCUCUAACAUCUUGGGUCCUACUGAAAGGAAGCCACGUCCAAGUGGACUAUAUGGGACAAUUCCAAUACCGAGUUCUCUGAAAGUUCACAAAGGCUGAUAUAAGGUUUCUAUUUUUCUUAAAUUCAUCAGAAUUCAACAAUAUAUAGCUCUGUUACCUGCAUGUAGGAAUCAAUUCUUCUUCCACAUCUCUGGACCACAAUGACCAUUCGAUUUGAACAGCAGUAAUUGGAUGAACAGCAUGAGCCCUUCUAAUUGUAGAAGCAGAGGCCUCUGAGAGGCCAAUGUAUUUUAUUUUUCCUUCUUCAACCAAUUUUUUGAGUUCCCCCAUCUACAAAAUCAUAAACACCAUUCUGCAUUAGGAACAAGGCCAGAAAAAUUGAAUCAAUGCUACUUGUAGUUUCUUUCCUAUCGGCAUAGAUAGGCAUAUGAAGAUACAUAUAUUCUUUGGGGCUUUUCUAGUUGUGAUGCCAUUACGCAACAUUUUACAAUGACAGAUAGAGGAAGGCAUUGAAAGGGAACAUCUGAUUGGUGUGCAGGAAAUUCAGGUCAUAAUACAGCAGAAAUAUUUCAGGUCAUAUUUGCUGUAAUAUAUAUACAUAUUUUUUUGGCACAGCAUACCUUUGAAUACAAAGUAAAAGAGGCAGAAGUAUUGAUGUUUUCGAGUAUAUAUGCUGCUGAAUAAGAAUGUAUCUUGAAGAAAGUACUCACAGUGAUUUCUAUGGGCACACUAGUGUCAAUGCGGUGAACAUAAUAGAGAUCAAUGCAGUCAACAUCAAGACGCUUCAAGCUCGACUCGCAUGAUGACCUCACAUAUGCCGGGUCACCAUGUACCUCACCCUUCCCAUCACGGUUUAUUAUUCCAAACUUGGUAGCAAGUUGCACUUUUUCCCUCAUUCCCCCUUUCAAAGCCUGCAACAACUCCAAAACGUUAAUGCAGGAAGAUAAUGACUCAUUCAACACCAAACUCCACACAUGAUCCAUGAAAGUUGUUCCAGCUUAUACUCGAAUAAUCUGUAAACAAGACAUGAAAAGGAGAAUGGAUGACCUCACCAGAACCUAAGUCCACAGAUCAACUCUUUAUAUGUAUAAUAGUGUGUCGCAAUUGUUCCACUUAUAUGUUAUCCAAUCAAAAUUUGAAACUUCUAGAAAUUCAAGUAGCAAAAUGUGUAUUGGAAACAUAACAGCACAAUUAUGAGUUUGGCUUUAACAAAUUAGUAACACAUAAUGAUCAAACUAACAGAACAUAAACAUUUACCCUCUUUGAUAACAAAGUAGAAUAAAAUUGAACAGCUUAAACAUAAAAGAACAAGAGAGUAAGAGCAACACACAACAAUACCCCUAAGAUUUGAAUCAAAGUAAACAGAUCCAUCCAUAAACAAUAUAGAAAAAUAAAAAGUAAUAACAGCAAAAUGAAACGAAUGAAAGAGUAGUAGAAGCACGCACUUUUCCGAUUAGGAUCUCGUUGGUGUGGGGACCGUACAUGUCGGAGGUGUCGAGAAAGGUAACGCCAGAGUUGAUGGCGUGGUGGAUAAGUUUGAUCAUAUCGGCGUCGGGCUUAGGCAGGCCGUAGAAGGCCGACAUGCCCAUGCAACCGAGGCCUUGUUUGGACACCUCAAGGCCCUGCGACCCCAGCUUGAUUGUCGGCACAUUCACUCCCAUUUUGGCGGAAUUGGGAAUUUGAGUGAUGAAUCGACUGGACUGGAUUGAGGAAUUCAUAGUUGGCCUUGAGUUUGUGACUUGGGAGUUGAUGGAUGUCGAGUGCCGUGAGUUUUUAUAAAGGGGAAAGGAAGACGAUAACGUAACUGCUGCCGUUAUGCUAUCGCCAGCGAUGACGCCAUUGUCAAACCUUUCUUCGAUGAGCUUGAAAAUCACACUACGCCNAGCUUAAACAUAAAAGAACAAGAGAGUAAGAGCAACACACAACAAUACCCCUAAGAUUUGAAUCAAAGUAAACAGAUCCAUCCAUAAACAAUAUAGAAAAAUAAAAAGUAAUAACAGCAAAAUGAAACGAAUGAAAGAGUAGUAGAAGCACGCACUUUUCCGAUUAGGAUCUCGUUGGUGUGGGGACCGUACAUGUCGGAGGUGUCGAGAAAGGUAACGCCAGAGUUGAUGGCGUGGUGGAUAAGUUUGAUCAUAUCGGCGUCGGGCUUAGGCAGGCCGUAGAAGGCCGACAUGCCCAUGCAACCGAGGCCUUGUUUGGACACCUCAAGGCCCUGCGACCCCAGCUUGAUUGUCGGCACAUUCACUCCCAUUUUGGCGGAAUUGGGAAUUUGAGUGAUG